AGGUGACCUGACUGAGAGGAGUGGUAAACAGUGAGAUUGAGUUUUCCUCCAUCCAUCUAUCAGGACAGAAUGGAGCCCACCAAACAUUUAAACCACAGCCCAGUGUGCAGUGAAGUCAGCACAGAGUCAGCAAUGCUGGUGGGUGACAGUGAGCUUGAAAUCCUGCUGAUACAACACUUUCACUCCAAAAACAAAAACAUGUCUGUCGCUAAACACGACCAGUGAACACCCCCUCCCCAAAGUCUGCCUGUGAAUAAGAAGGGGAGUAAAAUAAAUCAAGUGAGCGAGAGAGAGAGAGAGAGAGAGACAGGUGGUCGGGCCAGUCUUUUCCUUGCCCUCCGCUCCUUUUUGAACUUUUUUUUUUCCAUUCUUCCAGUUCAUUCUGUGCUUCUUUCCAUAGCGCUAGUGACAAGGCGCUCCAUUCACUGCCUCAUUCUUCCACCCCUCCCUCCUUCCUCCAUCUCCCUCACACACCCCAUCCCUCCUUCCCGGCUCCUUUGUCUAGCUUGCAGGGGUCUGCUUUAGCUGCUAUUCACCAGCCAGACGGACCACCAUUGACUGGAACCCCCCAUCCUCCCCCCUAACAUCCCUCCCUCCGACAAACACCCUCACAUACACAUAUGCACACAGCAACCUGGCCAUGCCCCACCCUACGCCCUGUAUCAGGCAGCUGCUAUGCUAAUAGGGAGGAAGGGAUGGAGGGAGGGAGGGAUGAAGAGGAAAGACAGAGCAGCCAGCCUAUAGUAAAGAGACAGAGGGAGGGAGAGCAGGGAGAGUGACCCCGCUCCUCCAUCUCCAUAGCCAUGCCAGAGCAGCAGCUCGCCUCCUGUUACACAAAGGGAGUCCCCCGGCCCUCCACCCCCUUCUCACCCCUCUUCCCCCUCCUUCCACCCCUCUGUUCCCCUCUUUCUCAUUCAAAUCCAUUUUAUACCCCAGUGGUAAA